AGAUGUAGGUAAGGGUGAAAGGGUGCGGUAAGAGCGCACCGCGUGUCUGGUAACAGUUCACGGCAAGGUAAACCCCACCAGAAGCAAGACCAAAUAGGAAUCCUGAGGCGCGGCCCGUGCUGGAUUCGGGUAGGUCGCUUGAGCGUACGAGUGAUUGUACGCCUAGAGGAAUGAUCGUCCUCGACAGAACCCGGCUUACAGGCCCGCUUCAAAG
rnacentral:RNase_P_RNA from 1 species